rnacentral:rRNA from 1 species
UACAGAGGGUGCGAGCGUUAUCCGGAAUGAUUGGGCGUAAAGCGUCUGUAGGUGGUUUAUGAAGUCUAAUGUUAAAUGCCAGGGCUCAACCUUGGGAAGGCAUUGGAGAACUCAUAGGCUAGAGUGCGGUAGAGGCAGAGGGAACUUCCAGUGAAGCAGUGAAAUGCGUAGAGAUUGGGAAGAACACCAGAGGCGAAAGCGCUCUGCUGGGCCGAGACUGACACUGAGAGACGAAAGCUAGGGUAGCGAAUGGGAUUAGAUACCCCAGUAGUCC